AGUUUGAUCCUGGCUCAGAUUGAACGCUGGCGGGAUGCUCUUUACACAUGCAAGUCGAACGGCAGCACGGACUUCGGUCUGGUGUUGAGCGAGUGGCGAACAGGUGAGAGUAAUGUAUCGGAACGUGCCUAGUAGCGGGGGAUAACUACGCGAAGGCAUUAAUAAUACCACGCCUGCAUAAAGGGAAAGCGAGGACCUUCGGGCCUCGCACUAAUGAAACGGCCGAUAUCGGAUUAGCUAGUUGGUGGGGUAACACGGCUCGCAGGCGACGUCCGUAGCUGGUUUGGGGGCGGACUGACUGACCUAUACUGGGCUGGAACCACGGCCCAGACUCCUGCGGGAGGCAGCAGUGGGGUACCUGGACAAUGGAAACCUGAUCCAGCCAUCUCGCGUGUGCGAUGAAGGCCUUCGGGUUGUAAAGCACUUUUGGCAGGAGAAGAAACUGGCACGGGAUAAUACCCGUGCAACUGACGGUACCUGCAGAAUAAGCACCCGGCUAACUACGUGCCAGCAGCGCGGUAAUACGUAGAGGUGCAAGCGUUAAUCGGAAUUACUGGGCGUAAAGCGUGCGCGAGCGGUUCGGAAGAAAGAUGUGAAAUCCCAGAGCUUAACUUUGGAGACUGCAUUUAACUACCGAGCUAGAGUGUGUCAGAGGGAGGUGGAAUUCCGCGUGUAGCAGUGAAAUGCGUAGAUAUAUGGAGGAACACCGAUGGCGAAGGCAACCUCCUGGGAUAACACUGACGCUCAUGCACGAAAACGUGGAGCAAACGGGAUUAGAUACCCUGGUAGUCCACGCCCUAAACGAUGUCAACUGGCUGUUUGGGGCCUUCGGGCGGCAAAAAUUGAAACAAUAACGCAUGAAGUUGACCGCCUGGGGAGUACGGUCGCCAAGAUUAAAACUCAAAGGAAUUGACAGGGACCCGCACAAGCAGUGGAUGAUGUGGGUCGAUUGAUGCCAAACACGAAAAACCUUACCUACCCUUGACGUGUCUGGAAUCGAAGAGAUUUGGGAGCGCCAUGAAGACAGUUUGGGUGCUGCAUGGCUGUCGUAAGCUCGUGUCGUGAGAUGUUGGGUUAAGUCCGCAACGAGCGCAACCCUUGGUCUGUUAGUUGCUACGAAGAGGAGCACUCUAAUAGGACUGCCGGUGACAAACCGGAGGAAGGUGGGGAUGACGUCAAGUCCUCAUGACCCUUAUGGGUAGGGCUUCACACCGUCAUACAAUGGUCAGGACAGAGGGUCAAACCAAUAUGAGAGGCCAAUCAGAAACCCGAUCGUAGUCCGGAUCGCAGUCUGCAACUCGACUGCGUGAAGUCCAGAAUCUUCGCUAAUGAUGGAUCAACAUAUCGUGGUGAAUACGUUCCCGGGUCUUGUACACACCGCCCGUCACACCAUGGGAGUGGGUUUUGCAGAAGUAGUUAGCCUAACCGUAAGGGCGAUUACCACGGUAGGAUUCAUGACUGGGGUGAAGUCGUAACAAGGUAG
rnacentral:rRNA from 1 species